GCGCCUGUAGCUCAAUUGGAUAGAGCAUCUGACUACGGAUCAGAAGGUUACAGGUUCGACCCCUGUCAGGCGCG
rnacentral:tRNA from 1 species